AAUCUUGCGCAAUGGGCGAAAGCCUGACGCAGCCAUGCUGCGUGAAUGAUGAAGGUCUUAGGAUUGUAAAAUUCUUUCACCGGGGACGAUAAUGACGGUACCCGGACAAGAAACCCCGUCUCACUGCGUCCCACCAGCCUCGGUAAUACGAAGGGGGCUAGCGUUGCUCGGAAUUACUGGGCGUAAAGGGCGCGUAGGCGGACAUUUAAGUCAGGGGUGAGAUCCCAGAGCUCAACUCUGGAACUGCCUUUGAUACUGGGUGUCUUGAGUGUGAGAGAGGUAUGUGGAACUCCGAGUGUAGAGGUGAAAUUCGUAGAUAUUCGGAAGAACACCAGUGGCGAAGGCGACAUACUGGCUCAUUACUGACGCUGAGGCGCGAAAGCGUGGGGAGCAAACA
rnacentral:rRNA from 1 species